rnacentral:pre_miRNA from 1 species
UUUAAAUACAAUCAUAAUUUUCUGUGCCCAACUUUAAUUAUCCAUCUUAUUUAAAGUUGUUUAUAAUUAGUAUUUUUAUUGUUAUGAGAUGAUAAAAUAUGAAUAGUACAUGUUUUUUUUUAAAAAGAAUAAAUGAGACGAAUGGUUAAAUGGUUAAAGUUGUGCACGGAAAAUCAUAGUUACAUUUAAA